UAAAGUUUUAAUUAGGCUAGAUGGAAUCCUAGUACAUCGCCGGUCCAUAAACACUUACUUUUAGAAACUAAGAUCUCCACCGGGGUAGAAAUCAUUGUGGAUUUCUGGCCUAUUGCCUCCAGAUAGGCCGAGAAGGAAAACAGGCUAACUGGAGGGCAGGAGGGAACCAAGCUUGACCCUCAGAGGACCCGCAGAAGGAUGCGGGGGAGCAAUUUCAAAUGUGGCUGCGUCAACCAGCAUAAGCAGGUGAGGUCCCCGGGCUCCUGGGGUCAUAUGAAUUAGAAGAGCAGUACGUUUCUCUAAUGUGGUUGGAGGUUACUGCAAAUGUGACCCAGAGAGUUGGCCUUCUGAAUGACGUGGCUUCUGAUGCCCGAUGAAGAGAGUAAAGUGAAAAAUUGAGCCUGGAGGGUGAGACCGUAGCACAGCUGGUACGCUGUGUUGAGGAAAAUGUCAGUCGUUAUUUAUCAUUUACUAUUCUCAUAGUUGCUCAGUGUAUCCACUUUGCUGCGUUCAAGUCUGCCCUGAAACAAUUACACAAAAUGUCCAAGGAUGCUUACUGACUGGUUGCUACCGACCUUUGGUAUGUUUGAGGGCGUAGGAAAAAGGAUAACAUGUUGAAUUCAUUUACUUUGAUCAUAUAACGUAACAUACUGUAAUUCACCAGGCCACUGGAAACGCAAUGGGAUACACUCCUGGUUCUGUAUUGGAGUAGAUGUAAAUGCGAAACAAGUCAGUAUAGUAAUACUACUUACAUAAAGGUUAGAGGUCUCUAAUAUCCCAUGUACUUGAACUCAAUCCUACUCAUACAGCAUCGGUUACUUGAUUGGUGGAGGAAGCCACGCCCGCAGCUGCGCAGGCGCAGACCUCUGGGAGUAGAGAGGAAGAUGGCGGCUUGUAAGCAUUAUCGCUAACAGGUUAAGCUAACGCUGCAUAUCAUCGAGCCCACGGUCAACGCCCCACUCUGAGUCAACCGAGUAACACAGGAGGCAUGGACUGUAAAUACUGGAGUCCUCUCUAAGUUAUUUCCAAGGAACUACACUCAUAGUCAGCCUGAGGAGAGAAAUGGCGAAGAGUGGGCGGACCAGGGCCAGUAAACACCGCUGCAAGCAAGCAAACCCAGUCCCACCAUCGCCCCCACCCCUCACAGGAAGCAAGCAAAGAAGCCAAAAGUCUGCCCCGUUCGGGCCACUGUAUUCGAAAGGGGACACCUGAAGACCACCAGGAGAGGGGGGAUGAAAUCCGGAGAGACGAGGGCCCUUAUUAAGAAGAGCAGAGACAGCAGCUCUACACAGAACCCUAUGCCUUGGCUUCUUCAAUGCUACAAAACCACCGCCGUGGAGCUUCACAAUUUGUCCUGUCUGAUCCUGGGUCAAGGACCAAACGAGCCAGUGAGAGAUAGAUUAUGUUAUUGGUUAAUGGUAAUCAUGCACUGUGACUGUAUGAUGAAGUGCCUUUACCCCACCCUUAGAGUUUCAGUGCUCUCUGUGAUUAGGGAUACUAAAUGCAAUAAAAGAGAGGGGCAGACAAAUGUGCCUCAGGGCGGCGGGGGAUUUGUAACUGAAAGCACAUCUAUGUCUGUUCACCUCGCAAAGAUAAGAA